GCCCAGACUCCUACGGGAGGCAGCAGUGGGGAAUAUUGCACAAUGGGGGAAACCCUGAUGCAGCGACGCCGCGUGAGUGAAGAAGUAUUUCGGUAUGUAAAGCUCUAUCAGCAGGGAAGAAAAUGACGGUACCUGACUAAGAAGCCCCGGCUAACUACGUGCCAGCAGCCGCGGUAAUACGUAGGGGGCAAGCGUUAUCCGGAUUUACUGGGUGUAAAGGGAGCGUAGACGGCAUGGCAAGUCAGAUGUGAAAGCCCGGGGCUCAACCCCGGGACUGCAUUUGGAACUGUGUGGCUGGAGUGUCGGAGAGGCAGGCGGAAUUCCUAGUGUAGCGGUGAAAUGCGUAGAUAUUAGGAGGAACACCAGUGGCGAAGGCGGCCUGCUGGACGAUGACUGACGUUGAGGCUCGAAAGCGUGGGGAGCAAACAGGAUUAGAUACCCCAGUA
rnacentral:rRNA from 1 species